rnacentral:rRNA from 1 species
CUUAGUGACCGAUAGCGCAUAGUACUGUGAAGGAAAGGUGAAAAGGACCCCGGGAGGGGAGUGAAAGAGAACCUGAAACCCUGUGUUUACAAGCUGUGGGACAUCUUUACAUGAUGAACCGCGUACUUUUUGUAGAACGGUCCGGCGAGUUGCGGAUGCCGGCAAGGUUAAGCACUUAAGGUGUGGAGCCGAAGGGAAACCAAGUCUGAAGAGGGCGCAUAUAGUCAGUAUCCGCAGACCCGAAACCGGGUGAUCUACCCAUGUCCAGGUUGAAGUUGCCGUAAAAGGCAAUGGAGGACCGAACGCACAUCCGUUGAAAAGGGUGGCGAUGAGGUGUGGGUAGGGGAGAAAUUCCAAUCGAACCCGGAGAUAGCUGGUUCUCCUCGAAAUAGCUUUAGGGCUAGCCUCGUUUUAGUCUUAUGGAGGUAGAGCACUGAAUUUCCGCGGGGGCGUCAAAGCUUACCAAAGAAUAUCAAACUCCGAAUGCCAUGUAGAUGAUGAACGGGAGUCAGACUGCACGAGAUAAGUUGGGCAGUCAAAAGGGAAAGAGCCCAGACCGCCAGCUAAGGUCCCAAAGUGUGUGUUAAGUGGAAAAGGAUGUGGGAUCUCCAAGACAACUAGGAUGUUGGCUCAGAAGCAGCCACACAUUCAAAGAGUGCGUAACAGCUCACUAGUCGAGAGGUCCUGCGCCGAAAAUGUCCGGGGCUGAAACACAACACCGAAGCUGCGGAAUUGCGAAUGCAAUUGGUAGAGGAGCAUUCUUAAUACCGACGAAGCUGUACCGGAAGGAGCAGUGGAGGGAUAAGAAGAGAGAAUGCCGGAAUGAGUAGCGAGAGAGAGGUGGGAAUCCUCUCGGCCGAAUAUCCAAGGUUUCCAGAGUAAAGCUGAUCUGCUCUGGGUAAGUCGGGGCCUAAGGCGAGGUCAAAAGACGUAGCCGAUGGACAACAGGUUUAGAUUCCUGUACCGCAUAUAAACAGAACUGUGGGGACGCAUGGGGAGAGCAUGGGCCGGGAAUGGAAAUACCGGUGCAAGCGAAGGAGGUGUGCAGCCGGCAAAUCCGCUGCAUGAGCCGAAAGCGUGACGCGGAGCGAAAUGAAAGUAGCGAAGCAUGUGAGCCCUGUGCCGAGAAAAGCCGCUAUCGCUUUAUAUGUGCCCGUACCGUAAACCGACACAGGUGGAUGAGGAGAGAAUCCUAAGGCCGGCGGAAGAAGCAUUGUUAAGGAACUCGGCAAAAUGACCCCGUAACUUCGGGAGAAGGGGUGCCUGCGAGAGCAGGCCGCAGAGAAUAGGCUCAAGCAACUGUUUAGCAAAAACACAGGUCUAUGCGAAACCGAAAGGUGAAGUAUAUGGGCUGACGCCUGCCCGGUGCUGGAAGGUUAAGAGGAGAGGUUAGCGCAAGCGAAGCUUUGAAUUUAAGCCCCAGUAAACGGCGGCCGUAACUAUAACGGUCCUAAGGUAGCGAAAUUCCUUGUCGGGUAAGUUCCGACCCGCACGAAAGGCGUAAUGAUUUGAGCACUGUCUCGACAAUACAUCCGGUGAAAUUGAAGUACCAGUGAAGAUGCUGGUUACCCGCGCCAGGACGGAAAGACCCCAUGGAGCUUUACUCCAGUUUGGUACUGGGAUUCGGUACUGCACGUACAGGAUAGGUGGGAGACUUUGAAACUUGAACGCCAGUUUGAGUGGAGUCGCUGUUGGGAUACCACCCCUGCAGUAUUGGAUUUCUAACCAGUCACCGUGAUCCGGUGAUGGGACAAUGCCAGGCGGGGAGUUUGACUGGGGCGGUCGCCUCCGAAAGGGUAUCGGAGGCGCUCAAAGGUUCCCUCAGAAUGGUCGGAAACCAUUUGAAGAGUGCAAAGGCAGAAGGGAGCUUGACUGCGACACCGACGGGUGGAGCAGGUACGAAAGUAGGACUUAGUGAUCCGGUGGUAUAAAGUGGGAUUGCCAUCGCUCAACGGAUAAAAGCUACCCUGGGGAUAACAGGCUUAUCACUCCCAAGAGUUCACAUCGACGGAGUGGUUUGGCACCUCGAUGUCGGCUCAUCGCAUCCUGGGGCUGUAGCAGGUCCCAAGGGUUGGGCUGUUCGCCCAUUAAAGCGGUACGCGAGCUGGGUUCAGAACGUCGUGAGACAGUUCGGUCCCUAU